AUGAACGCUGGCGGCGUGCCUAAUCCAUGCAAGUCGCGCGAACAGACGAGGAGCUUGCUCCUCUGAUGUUAGCGGCGGACGGGUGAGUAACACGUGAUAACCUACCUAUAAGACUGGGAUAACUUCGGGAAACCGGAGCUAAUACCGGAUAACAUGGUGAAACGCAUGGUUCAACAGUGAAAGACGGUCUUGCUGUCACUUAUAGAUGGAUCCGCGCCGCAUUAGCUAGUUGGUAAGGUAACGGCUUACCAAGGCAACGAUGCGUAGCCGACCUGAGAGGGUGAUCGGCCACACUGGAACUGAGACACGGUCCAGACUCCUACGGGAGGCAGCAGUAGGGAAUCUUCCGCAAUGGGCGAAAGCCUGACGGAGCAACGCCGCGUGAGUGAAGAAGGUCUUCGGAUCGUAAAACUCUGUUAUUAGGGAAGAACAAAUGUGUAAGUAACUAUGCACGUCUUGACGGUACCUAAUCAGAAAGCCACGGCUAACUACGUG
rnacentral:rRNA from 1 species